rnacentral:lncRNA from 1 species
CGGCGCCCGAGCCCCUGACAGCGCCAUAAAUUGGCGGUGCAAAGCUGAGCGCUUGGUGGUCCCCCGGAGGAAAGAGUCGCCGCCGAGAGCGCGAAAAGACGAGUCCGGGAGCCCGCCAGGGAGCCAGUGGUGUUUUUUCCAGAUCACCUUGUUGGAACUUAGAGUAGCAGAGAUAUUUACACAGAUUUUAUCAGAGAGAGACAAGAUAAGAAAAUCACUAGGUGUGGACUUUUUUUGUCAUGGAAGAUAUACAUUUGAUGCAAAGUAUCUUUUGAAGUAUUUUUUAGUUUAAACCAAAACAGUUUUCGAAGAAAAGCAAUAAUUCCUGUUCAAUC